UACGGAGGGGGCGAGCGUUAAUCGGAAUUACUGGGCGUAAAGGGCGCGUAGGCGGCUUGAUGUGUCAAAGGUGAAAUCCCUCGGCUCAACUGAGGAACUGCCUUUGAAACUGCAGGGCUUGAGGCCGGGAGGGGGUAGCGGAAUUCCCAAUGUAGCGGUGAAAUGCGUAGAUAUUGGGAGGAACACCAGUGGCGAAGGCGGCUACCUGGACCGGUUCUGACGCUGAGGCGCGAAAGCGUGGGUAGCAAACAGG
rnacentral:rRNA from 1 species